rnacentral:lncRNA from 11 species
GCUGUCCAGACACAACUCGCUCCGGAGGCUGACGAAUUGACUCCGCGAAGUUACUUCGCGGGUAAAACACCUAUAUAGAGUCUAACUUUCCCGCCGAGAGCAGUUCUCUGGGAACCAGAAACGAAAGCUAAUCUCUGAGACCAGAUGUUUGACUCCUUAAAGAUUCUCAUGGAAAGCAGGCUUAAUUGGCUAAAUUCUUAGCAGCUAUUCUAGCACUCCUGCGCGAGGCCGCUUCCAAACCUCUCUGUUGUUUACAAAACUCAUGUCAAACAAACCCUGAGCCUACAUCUCCUGUGUUUUCUCGCCAUGAGU